rnacentral:rRNA from 1 species
UACGUAGGGGACAAGCGUUGUUCGGAUUCAUUGGGCGUAAAGGGUGCGUAGGCGGCGCGGUAAGUCGGAUGUGAAAUCUCGGAGCUUAACUCCGAAACUGCAUUCGAUACUGCCGUGCUUGAGGACUGGAGAGGAGACUGGAAUUUACGGUGUAGCGGUGAAAUGCGUAGAUAUCGUAAGGAAGACCAGUGGCGAAGGCGGGUCUCUGGACAGUUCCUGACGCUGAGGCACGAAGGCCAGGGGAGCAAACGGG